AUUGAACGCUGGCGGCAGGCCUAACACAUGCAAGUCGAACGGUAGCACAGAGGAGCUUGCUCCUUGGGUGACGAGUGGCGGACGGGUGAGUUAUGUCUGGGAAGCUGCCCGAUGGAGGGGGAAAACUACUGGAAACGGUAGCUAAUACCGCAUAACGUCUGCGGAGCAAAGUGGGGGACCUUGGGGCCUCACACCAGUGGAUGUGCCCAGAUGGGAUUAGCUAGUAGGUGGGGUAAUGGCUCACCUAGGCGACGAUCCCUAGCUGGUCUGCGAGGAUGACCAGCCACACUGGAACUGAGACACGGUCCAGACUCCUACGGGAGGCAGCAGUGGGGAAUAUUGCACAAUGGGCGCAAGCCUGAUGCAGCCAUGCCGCGUGUAUGAAGAAGGCCUUCGGGUUGUAAAGUACUUUCAGCGGGGAGGAAGGCGUUAAGGUUAAUAACCUUGGCGAUUGACGUUACCCGCAGAAGAAGCACCGGCUAACUCCGUGCCAGCCGCCGCGGUAA
rnacentral:rRNA from 1 species